rnacentral:lncRNA from 1 species
UGCUCGCGGCCUUUCCCAUUUUUUUGGUUUAUUUUGGGAAGGGGGGGGAGGGGUCUCGCCUGAUUUUGGGAUUUUUUUUAGGGAUUAUUUUGGGGGUCUCCUUCUCUGUUUUUGGGGUUAUUUUCGGGGUCUCCUUCUCUGUUUUUGGGGUUCUUUUGGGGGUCUCCUCGCCUAUUUUUGGGAUUUUUUUUGAGAUUUUUUUGGGGGUCCUCUCGGCUAUUUUUGGGAUUUUUUUUUAGGGAUUA